rnacentral:rRNA from 1 species
UACGUAGGGCCCGAGCGUUAUCCGGAAUUAUUGGGUGUAAAGUGCGCGUAGGCGUUUUGGUAAGUCGGUCGUUAAAUCUCAUCGCCCAACGAUGAAACCGCGAGCGAUACUGCCAGAAUUGAGUGACACAGGGGCAAGCAGAAUUUCCAGAGUAGGGGUGAAAUCCGUUGAUACUGGAAGGAAUACCAAUGGCGAAGGCAGCUUGCUGGGUGCUCACUGACGCUGAGUGCGCGAAAGCGUGGGGAGCAAACGGGG